rnacentral:snRNA from 1 species
GAAUGUGAGGGAGAUCUGGCUGCGACAUCUGUGUCCCCAUUGAUCACCAGGGUUGAUUUGGCUGAUCUGACUGGCUAGGCGGGUGUCCCCUUCCUCCCUCACCGCUCCAUGUGUGUCCCUCCCAAAGCUGCGCGCUCGGUCGAAGAGGAAGACCUUCCCCGAUAGAGGAGGACCGAUCUUCGGUCAAGGGUAUACGAGUAGAUGCGCUCCCCUGCUAGAACCUCCAAACAAGCUCUCAAGAAAUAAAUUUUCAAGAAGGUGAAAGACCCAUAUAUGGAAAGCUAUGAGAUAUCAAUGAAAGAAAUU